CUUGGUUUGCUAAAUACUGAGAUGCCCAUGUGAUAUUAAACGUACCAUCAUUGUAUAUGACUAUAUGCAUAAUGACAUGCAGUGUGGUCAUGUACAAAAAUUGACCCAUUAUAUUCAUUCUGUUCACUUCCACCUACCUACCUGUCUCAACCCUAUCUCCACUCUCCUUAACUUAACCUCUCUGCAUUUAAUUUGGAAUCCCACUGAAACAGCAAUGCCCAUCCUUUCAGUCUCUUUCUUCAAAUCAUCUCCUAUUCAUGGCCCACCAUAAAAAUUUCGUAACUUCAUCAAAUUUCUUCUCUCACCCCAUCAAAACCUUCCGUUCUGGAAAUGAUGAAUGAUGGAAUGGAGGAAGUUGCCUUCGUUUAACCUUAAUCAUUUAGUCCGUUUUCCAACCCUUAAUAGUGAAAGCAUUCCCGUUUGUCUCUGACCCUCACAGCAGCCCAAUUAUCAGACCAGCACAGCAGCAAAACAUCAGAUUAGGGGUUUGUUCUCUGCUGUUUGGAUUAGGAGUUUCUUAAAACGUGCACAGAAGGGUUAACUGCAAGGUGAGAGGGGAAUUAAGCUCUACAAGUUCCAUAACUUCCUCAAUGAACAUCUGCAUAAGUGAGUUGAAGUCAAUAAGCUGUAAUACUUCUAAAAGCACAUGUUAAUGCUUGUCAAAGGUUGCUGAUUCCUGAAUAUCUUUUGUUUGAGCAAUGUUAUGAUAUGUUGGACCUUAACCGGGUUUAAGUAUUAGAAACGUUUCAGCGUAACUCAACCCCACAGAGUUAGGCACCUUAUAUUAUAAUUUGAUCUCUCUUUAAAACUUCCAACACACUCCUUCACGACGAGGUAU
rnacentral:sRNA from 1 species